AUGUCAGGGCAGGAAACGCCCCCUCAGGACACAGACCCAGGCUCACGGUGGGAGGGUACACGUGUGUGCGGAGGGAGGGGAAGGGCCUGCCACAAGUGUCUUACCUCUCUCUGUCUUUGGGUUCAGAGGAGAAUGUCCUCUUGGAGGAGUGCGGUUAGCCCAGGUGUUAGGAGCAGCCUACCUGUGUCAAGAGCCUUUCCAUGUGCUGCUUUGAGAGUGUUUGGAACCGGCGCCCAUUCCCUGCCUCUACAGAAAUGGAUCUCGAAUGUGCCUAGAAGGGUCUGGGGCUGAGGCUGCCACUACUCCUAGCCCCUUGAUGAUUCAGGAAUGCUUCUACUGGCUGAGCACGCCCUCCGUCCCUCACUGGUCCAGUCGGACAGGACUUCAUCACUGAGCCACUACUCCCCGACUCCCAGCUCCUAGUGAGUAUACUCGCACUGGGCCAUGACCCCAGUACAUGGAGAGACUGGGCUAAGCAUCUGUGGUUUAGCUUCUGUUGUCCUCACCUGUGGCCCAUCUCUCCACACUCAGUGUGAGGAACACAAGUUCUUUCUCCAGUGAUGUCGUAUAAUUGAAAUACUCAGCUACUUGAGGUCAUUUUCCCACCUGUGGUUCACAAGGUUCAUCUCCUUGCAAACAUGAUGUCACAUUUACAGGAAAUACAUGUCUAAAACCUUCCCGCAUCUGAGGUGCUUCCUAUGUCCUGGGUAAACAAACUUGUCAGAGAGCAGAUGUGCGUGCAGGGCACACUGGGGCAACUAAGCCAAUGUGGGUUCACUUGUGGUUGUUAGUAAAGAACUAUUCCUACCCAGCAGAUCAGUGUUAGGAGACGCACAGUUCUCAACACCCAGAACAGGUCUCCAUGCUCCUGGGAGUUUAGGAACUUCCAAAGGUUGACCCCAGGAGGUCUUUUGGAGAAAGAAUUAAGUUGUUUUAUGCAUGUAGGUGUUUGCCUGCAUGUGUGUGUGUGCAUCAUAUACAUGCCUGGUUCGUAUGGCAACCAGAAAAGGGCACUGGAUCUUCGGGAACUGAAGUAACAGACUGUUGUGAGCCGCCAACUGGGUUCUUGGAAUUGAGCACUGGUCCUUUGGGAGAGCAGCCAGUGCUCUUAACCACCGAGUCAUCUCUCCAGCCCUCAUCAGGAGCUCUUUUUGCUGCUGAUUUUGGGAGAGGGUCUUUUACAGCUGGCUUAGCACUCACUGUGUAGUCCAGGCUGGCUUUUAACUCUCAGUGAUCCUCCUGUGGCUAACUCCAGUAUGUUGGGAUUAUAGGUACGAUGCUACCUAUAAUCUGACCCCGUGAAGGGGAUUUUUUUAAUUUUUAAUUUUAUUUUCUAUUUUAAAAUUUAUUUUUGUGACAGUCUCAUGUAGCCCAUGUGGGCCUCAAACUCCUGGUCCUCCUGUGUUUACCACCUGAGUGCUAGAUCACAGUCAUGUAUAUUCCCAACCCAGAAAAUCCUAUGUAAUAAAGUCCCAUUUGACUUUGGUUAUUCUUUCA
rnacentral:lncRNA from 1 species